rnacentral:rRNA from 1 species
UACAGAGGUCUCAAGCGUUUGUUCGGAUUCAUUGGGCGUAAAGGGUGCGUAGGCGGCGCGGUAAGUCGGGUGUGAAAUCUCGGAGCUUAACUCCGAAACUGCAUUCGAUACUGCCGUGCUUGAGGACUGGAGAGGAGACUGGAAUUUACGGUGUAGCUGGUGGAAAUGCGUAGAUAUCGGGAGGAACACCGGGUGGCGAAGGCGGU